UACGUAGGGUGCAAGCGUUGUCCGGAAUUACUGGGCGUAAAGGGCGCGUAGGCGGACAGUUUAGUCAGAGGUGAAAGCCCAGGGCUCAACCUUGGAAUAGCCUUUGAUACUGACUGUCUUGAGUUCGGGGAGAGGUGAGUGGAAUGCCGAGUGUAGAGGUGAAAUUCGUAGAUAUUCGGCGGAACACCAGUGGCGAAGGCGACUCACUGGCCCGAUACUGACGCUGAGGCGCGAAAGCGUGGGGAGCAAACAG
rnacentral:rRNA from 1 species